rnacentral:rRNA from 1 species
GACGAACGCUGGCGGCGUGCCUAAUACAUGCAAGUCGAACGCAGUGGGGACGGGUGAGUGACACGUGGGUAACAGCCCAUCAGAGGGGAUAAAACUUGGAAACCGGUGCUAAACCGAUACUGAUGGAUGGACCCGCGGUGCAUUAGCUAGUUGGUGAGGUAACGGCUCACCAAGGCCACGAUGCAUAGCCGACCUGAGAGGAUGAUCGGCCACACUGGGACUGAGACACGGCCCAGACUCCUACGGGAGGCAGCAGUAGGGAAUCUUCGGCAAUGGACGAAAGCCUGAUCCAGCCACGCCGCGUGUGUGAAGAAGGUCUUCGGAUUGUAAAGCUCUGUUGUUAGAGAAGCGGUAUCUAACCAGAAAGCCACGGCUAACUACGUGCCAGCAGCCGCGGUAAUAC